CAGCAACUGACACUUUGUUCUACAGGACAGAAUCAAGAUCCUGCAAAAUGUUUGCCUUGAUUUAAAAGUUCAGCUGCACAAAUGGAGGAGAGGAAACAUAACCAGGAUUAACAGCGAUACAUACCCAAGAGCCGUAAGGAUUUUAGUGGACUACAAGUGCUCACUUCCCCACAACUUAAGACAACCGUACGCUAAAUUAUUAAAGGCAGCUGAUGACCAGGGCUGAGAACUUGCCCCAGACCACGAGCCUCUCUGUUGAUAAAGCAAGCAGACUUACAGUUUUUCGGCAUCUCAGGGAGCCUGCAGCAGUGAUCCAGUUCUUUCAAAGGGUCUGUGGAUUCUCAGCUUUCCAGACUAGGCUCUGGUGAUAGGUCACCUUCCAUCGGGAAAAGAAAGCAACGCAAGUAAAGAAACAACAUCAUUUUGUGAUGAUGCAAUGAAGGAAAUAAACAAGAAGAUAUGAUAAAUAGUACCUGGAGCGCCUACUUCACAAGAAAGCCUGAGAGAGUCCAGUUGUACUCAAGGAGAGGGAGAAGUAGCCAGGAGACAGAUCCGGUAGGACUGUGAAAGCCAUGGUAAGAAGCUGGGAACGUAUCCCAAGUACGUUGGAAAGCUGCUGGAAACUUUUAAGCAGGGAAGUUAUACAAUCUGAUUUACAUUUUGAAAAUGGCUCGCUGUUUGAGUAACAAAUUCUAAGUGGGCAGAUGCAGAGGCAGGAAGACCAGUUAGGAAGUGACUGAAAUGGUCCAUGUGAGAGAAGUUAGUUGGUGGCUUAGUUUAGGGUAGUGGCCAAGGCAGUGGUGAGG
rnacentral:lncRNA from 1 species